rnacentral:rRNA from 1 species
CCUAACACAUGCAAGUCGAACGAGCAAAUACAUUUGAUUUCUUCGGAAUGAAGAUGUAGGCGCGAGUGGCGGACGGGUGAGUAACGCGUGAGUAAUCUGCCUCAUACAGGAGAAUAACACUAAGAAAUUGGUGCUAAUACUCCAUAAGCUCACAUUAUGACAUCAUAGAGUGAGAAAAGAUUUAUCGGUAUGAGAGGAGCUCGCGUCUGAUUAGCUAGUUGGUGGGGUAACGGCCUACCAAGGCAACGAUCAGUAGCCGACCUGAGAGGGUGAUCGGCCACAUUGGAACUGAGACACGGUCCAAACUCCUACGGGAGGCAGCAGUGGGGAAUAUUGCACAAUGGGGGAAACCCUGAUGCAGCAACGCCGCGUGAAGGAAGAAGUAUUUCGGUAUGUAAACUUCUAUCGACAGGGAAGAAACAAAUGACGGUACCUGAAUAAGAAGCACCGGCUAAAUACGUGCCAGCAGCCGCGGUAAUACGUAUGGUGCAAGCGUUAUCCGGAUUUACUGGGUGUAAAGGGUGAGUAGGCGGUCAUGCAAGUCAUAUGUGAAAUGUCAGGGCUUAACCUUGGCGCUGCAUAAGAAACUGUAUGACUAGAGUGCAGGAGAGGUAAGCGGAAUUCCUAGUGUAGCGGUGAAAUGCGUAGAUAUUAGGAAGAACACCGGUGGCGAAGGCGGCUUACUGGACUGUUACUGACGCUGAGUCACGAAAGCGUGGGGAGCAAACAGGAUUAGAUACCCUGGUAGUCCACGCC